rnacentral:lncRNA from 1 species
GUCUCACUGUCACCCAGGCUGGAGUGCAGUGGCGCAGCCUUAGCUCACUGCAACCUUGAACUCCUGGGCUCAAGAGAUCUUCCUGCCUCAGUGUCCCAGGUAGCUAGGACUGCAGGUGCCUGCCACCACGCCUGGCUAAGUUGUUUUUGUUUUGUUUUGGUAGAGACAGAGUCUCACUGUGUUGCCCAGGCUGGUCUUGAACUUCUGGCCUCAAGCAGUCC